rnacentral:rRNA from 1 species
AUACAUGCAAGUCGAACGCUUCUUUUUCCACCGGAGCUUGCUCCACCGGAAAAAGAGGAGUGGCGAACGGGUGAGUAACACGUGGGUAACCUGCCCAUCAGAAGGGGAUAACACUUGGAAACAGGUGCUAAUACCGUAUAACAAUCAAAACCGCAUGGUUUUGAUUUGAAAGGCGCUUUCGGGUGUCGCUGAUGGAUGGACCCGCGGUGCAUUAGCUAGUUGGUGAGGUAACGGCUCACCAAGGCCACGAUGCAUAGCCGACCUGAGAGGGUGAUCGGCCACAUUGGGACUGAGACACGGCCCAAACUCCUACGGGAGGCAGCAGUAGGGAAUCUUCGGCAAUGGACGAAAGUCUGACCGAGCAACGCCGCGUGAGUGAAGAAGGUUUUCGGAUCGUAAAACUCUGUUGUUAGAGAAGAACAAGGAUGAGAGUAACUGUUCAUCCCUUGACGGUAUCUAACCAGAAAGCCACGGCUAACUACGUGCCAGCAGCCGCGGUAAUACGUAGGUGGCAAGCGUUGUCCGGAUUUAUUGGGCGUAAAGCGAGCGCAGGCGGUUUCUUAAGUCUGAUGUGAAAGCCCCCGGCUCAACCGGGGAGGGUCAUUGGAAACUGGGAGACUUGAGUGCAGAAGAGGAGAGUGGAAUUCCAUGUGUAGCGGUGAAAUGCGUAGAUAUAUGGAGGAACACCAGUGGCGAAG